rnacentral:rRNA from 1 species
CAGCCGCCGCGGUAAAACAGAGGGUGCGAGCGUUAAUCGGAUUUACUGGGCGUAAAGCGUGCGUAGGCGGCUUUUUAAGUCGGAUGUGAAAUCCCUGAGCUUAACUUAGGAAUUGCAUUCGAUACUGGGAAGCUAGAGUAUGGGAGAGGAUGGUAGAAUUCCAGGUGUAGCGGUGAAAUGCGUAGAGAUCUGGAGGAAUACCGAUGGCGAAGGCAGCCAUCUGGCCUAAUACUGACGCUGAGGUACGAAAGCAUGGGGAGCAAACAGGAUUAGAUACCCGUGUAGUCCCUGUCUCUUAUAC